CGGGACGGGUGAGUAAUGUCUGGGAAACUGCCUGAUGGCGGGGGAUAACUACUGGAAACGGUAGCUAAUACCGCAUAACGUCGCAAGACCAAAGAGGGGGACCUUCGGGCCUCUUGCCAUCGGAUGUGCCCAGAUGGGAUUAGCUAGUAGGUGGGGUAACGGCUCACCUAGGCGACGAUCCCUAGCUGGUCUGAGAGGAUGACCAGCCACACUGGAACUGAGACACGGUCCAG
rnacentral:rRNA from 1 species